AAUAAAUGUGAAGGUUAUGAUUGGCUUGGAAUAAUGUCAAGAUGCCUUUGUAUUGUGUUUGAAUUGUAUUAAUCAUUUGUUGUUGAAUAAGAUUAACAUAAGCGAACAAUAUGUUAUGACUAAUGAAAUAAUUCUUACCCGUGCAGUUGAAGAAAUAUGUUUGUAGAAUA